AAGUUGGAAUUGCUAGUAAUCGCGGAUCAGCAUGCCGCGGUGAAUACGUUCCCGGGCCUUGUACACACCGCCCGUCACACCAUGGGAGUUUGUAACACCCGAAGUCAGUGUCCCCAACCGCAAGGAGGGAGCUGGCCGAAGGUGGGAUAAGCGACUGGGGUGAAGUCGUAACAAGGUAGC
rnacentral:rRNA from 1 species